rnacentral:rRNA from 1 species
GACGAACGCUGGCGGCGUGCUUAACACAUGCCAGUCGAACGGAAAGGCCCUGCUUUUGUGGGGUGCUCGAGUGGCGAACGGGUGAGUAACACGUGAGUAACCUGCCCUUGACUUUGGGAUAACUUCAGGAAACUGGGGCUAAUACCGGAUAGGAGCUCCUGCUGCAUGGUGGGGGUUGGAAAGUUUCGGCGGUUGGGGAUGGGCUCGCGGCUUAUCAGCUUGUUGGUGGGGUAGUGGCUUACCAAGGCUUUGACGGGUAGCCGGCCUGAGAGGGUGACCGGCCACAUUGGGACUGAGAGACGGCCCAGACUCCUACGGGAGGCAGCAGUGGGGAAUAUUGCACAAUGGGCGGAAGCCUGAUGCAGCAACGCCGGGUGCGGGAUGACGGCCUUCGGGUUGUAAACCGCUUUCGCCUGUGACGAAGCGUGAGUGACGGUAAUGGGUAAAGAAGCACCGGCUAACUACGU